rnacentral:tRNA from 1 species
GGGGCUGUGGCAUAGCAGGUAAAGCCCCAGCCUAAAGUGCUGGCAUCCUGGGUGCCGGUUGGAGUCCUGGCUGCUCCA